GUUUUAGUUUCGUUUACCACUAUAGAAGUUUCCCCAACAAUAACAACUUUCAUUUCUGGGAACCCCAGAAAUGUGAAAAAGGUCCAUUUAUUAAUAUAGCAUUGUUCGUUGUUUACUCUUAAAGCAUAAGUUAAUGUUAAUUCAUACAACUUGAAUAGCAUAUAGAGCAUUUCUUCUGCACAAGUGGACACAUGCUGUUAGACAAAGGCUUUAGAAAGUGGCUAAAACUGUUUUGUAAAUAUUUUUGCAGGCUGAGACACUGGUGCGGGACAGUCCUUUGCUGACAUCUAUUGCUCAGAGUCAUCUGUAUCCAUUUGUAUAUGUAGUACAGCAGUUAAUUCACUGGCUCUUUAUGGGAUACCCUCUGGUGCCAUUCUGCCUCUUCACGUACGACAAGUGGCUCAAGGUGUACUCCUCUAUAUAUUUCUCUGGUCACAUCUUUUUCUUCAUUGCCUUUCUCGUCCUGCCAUACCUCCGCAAGGUGUUCGUGCCUCGAAAAAGAGGCAGUGAGAAAAAGGAGGAUUAAUUAAAAUGGUUUGACUGAAGUGAACCGUGACUUUUAAAGAGCGCCUGAAGAGGACAAAUUUUAAGGCCUUUAGUAAUAUAUUACUAUUUGCAUACCGGACUGGUGUGUGUGUGUGUACAAAUGUUAGUCCGUUGGAAAGUUUUUGGCAUUCUUUGGGUGGACUGUAAUGAAAAAGGUUAAAAGCUGCAGAAAUACAAGCAUUUCUGAGGUUCAAUAUAUGUGAAAUAAGAUUUACUGAUGUUUGGUGGCUAAAAAUAAUUACACUGUGUCUGCUCAUACCAUUGCACUCAUUACUUGGUAAUGAUCUCAUUUCCUGUUUCCUGUCUAAUCAGUGAACUGGCUUUGGCUGUCGCUGAGGUCACGUGUGCACUUUUAGAGGGGACGUAGAGCACGCAUUUCAAAGAUGAAAACAAAUGAGAUGUUUUAUUUUCCUUUGCUAGGAAUAUUUCAACCUCACUUACCCUAAAAAUGCAAUGAAAUGUGAAAAAACGCAGUAAACAGUGACUGAGCAUCGCCUGGCAUUACAAAUGAAUGUUUUGCGUUUUUAUAACCAUUUUUUCUUGUGACCAGACAACUUCUGAUGGGCAUUCUUCUUUUUUUUAAGAAUGGGUUUUAUGGUAACUACAUUUUGUAUAGCUUUUUUGACACUUUCAUAAAAGGAUCAUCAUUCUGUCAUCUCAUCAUCUCACUCCAUUUAACACUGUCUGUCCACCCAUCUGACCUUUUCUCUUUCACUCCAUAUUUCUCCAACAAAUCUUUUUGUCCAGCGUAUGAGCACAAGUGAAACAGAAACGACAGUAACAUAAACGCUACUAACCAGAAUCAUGAAUAUGAUGGUAAAUUUGUGUCAGUAUUAUUAAGAGCAGAGUAUUUAAAUUAUAACAAGCAUUUUAGUAAAUUGUGCACACCAAUGGCACUAUUAAAAACUGCUGUGUUAAAUCCUUAAAAAGUGUGGGUGUGUAUUUCUCAUCGCACAUCAGGAGCUGCUCUCAAUAAUUCCUAUGCAUAUUUGCCUUUGUAUCAGUUUUGUAUGACAUGACAUUGAAGAUCCUUGAUACAAAUACACAUACAGACUCUUCAGUGAGGGCUACAACCUGCACCCGGAUUCACUGCCUCUCUCACUGUAGCAUCAAAGUUGUUUUAUAAUAUUUAUACAUGUGGUUGCAAAUUUUAUGGAUGUAAAAAUUUUUUGUUUUUGGGAAACAACUACUGCCUUACUGCUACCAAAUGUACACGAGAGGGAGAGAGAGAGAGAGAAAACAAACAACUACUUUUAAACAAACCCGUCUUUUUGUAAUACUCAUUAAAAAUGCUGGAUUU